rnacentral:rRNA from 1 species
AGUGAACGCUGGCGGUAGGCCUAACACAUGCAAGUCGAACGGCAGCACAGAGGAGCUUGCUCCUUGGGUGGCGAGUGGCGGACGGGUGAGGAAUACAUCGGAAUCUACUCUGUCGUGGGGGAUAACGUAGGGAAACUUACGCUAAUACCGCAUACGACCUACGGGUGAAAGCAGGGGACCUUCGGGCCUUGCGCGAUUGAAUGAGCCGAUGUCGGAUUAGCUAGUUGGCGGGGUAAAGGCCCACCAAGGCGACGAGCCGGAGCGGGUCUGCGAGGAUGACCAGCCACCCUGGAACUGGGCCAAGGUCCAGACUCCUACGGGAGGCAGCAGUGGGGAAUAUUGGACAAUGGGCGCAAGCCUGAUCCAGCCAUACCGCGUGGGUGAAGAAGGCCUUCGGGUUGUAAAGCCCUUUUGUUGGGAAAGAAAUCCAGCUGGCUAAUACCCGGUUGGGAUGACGGUACCCAAAGAAUAAGCACCGGCUAACUUCGUGCCAGCCGCCGCCGUAA